rnacentral:misc_RNA from 1 species
CUGGUAUCACGUAUUCCCGAGGUGUUCCCUAGGUGUUUCUCAGUAGAGCUCUCGGAGCAGUCUCGCCGAAUCACAUAUUCCUUUAUUCUCUUCUCCUCGAAUUCAAACGUCUUCGUUCGCGAAUUCACUUUUGGCGAAACGACCACGUGCCCAGCAUCCAAGUUCCACAGUGACCUAGAGAAUCUCACACCUGUCCCGACCUGUCCCCCCCCCCUCCCUCUGAUUCGUCAUCAACUGUGACGGCGAGCUUAGCUUCGUCAGUAAGGCAACGCGUCGCAUUAUUUCUUAUCCGGUGCCACGUAACGCGCAGCUCGCCGUAUCGAUACGAUCGUGCCGAGUAAUAAUUAACACUUGCUGUUCGGAGUGCGGUAUCGCAUCACGUCGCGGAAGUCGCCCGUCGUUAUCCCUCUUUGAUCUCUCUUCCCGAGGAGGAAGGCGAGGAGGAGCUUAGCCUCUCGUUUCAGUCUUUCUUUCUCUCUUUUUCUUUCGUCGUCGCUGUUCGUCCGACAACAAGAUUUCGACAUGGGAGUCGAGGACAAGAUGUCUGAGAAGAAUCCUGAAAUGAAACAAACUGCUGCAAGAAUCUGUCGAGAUUACUUGCACGGCGUAUGGAAACAUAUCACAGCGGAAAACAUAAUUCUCAAGCGUGUCAGUGGUGGUCUAAGUAAUUGGCUGUACAACGUCCAGCUUCCUGAGGGAACAGUUCCUAUCAGGGGGGAGCCUCGUCAAGUUUUACUACGACUUUACGGGCAGGUGCAUGGAGAAAGAGCCUUAGAGGGACUUAUCACGGAAUCCGUCAUCUUCACUUUAUUAUCCGAGAGGAAGCUGGGCCCUAAGCUACACGGCGUGUUUCCUGGUGGCCGUAUAGAGGAAUACAUACCGGCCCGACCUUUGCUCACGAAGGAGCUGGCGGAUUCAACCUUGAGUCUACUAAUCGCGGAGAAAAUGGGACAGAUACACACGAUGCAGAUACCAAUUAGCAAAGAGCCCACAUGGAUAUGGGACACGAUGCAGAAUUGGCUCAACACUGCAUCGGACAUUCUCGAGAACAUUGAGGACAUCGACAGCCAGCAGUUGGAGAAUGUCAGUGCGAUAAAGUACAUAGAUUUGGAGCAUGAAAUCAAUUGGCUUAGGUCAAUUGUAAUGCAGCAAAAGCAUCCAGUUGUGUUUUGCCAUAAUGAUAUGCAAGAAGGAAAUAUACUGUUACUCCAAAACUCGCGAACACCCAAAUUAGUACUCAUUGACUUCGAAUAUUGUUCCUACAACUACCGAGGGUUCGAUAUCGCCAAUCAUUUCGCCGAAUGGCAAUACGACUACACGGCGCCGGAAUAUCCUUUCUUUCAUGAACGUCCGGGUGCCGGUCCCACAAAGGAGCAAAAGUUUCACAGGACCGCAAUCCGUCAAGACAAGGCUGAGAUGCCUGCAAACAGAGAAAAAAUUGGCUGGCAAUGUGAAAACUGUCUGUCUAUGCUGUGAUGGAUCCCGUCUUACGUGGGUGCUCUACAUUUGUGGAACCAGGGUGCCACCGGUACCAUCACCAUUGGAACCACAGAUCCACUCAUCUACGAUUCUAGACUCAACUUCAUAAGAGCCUACCUAAGGACAUUGGGGAAAGAAGGAUCUCUGGAGGAAGAACGCAUCAUGAUGGAAGUGAGGAUAUUUUCGUUAGCUAGUCACUUAUUCUGGGGUCUUUGGAGCAUUGUAAACGCGAAA